rnacentral:rRNA from 1 species
GACGAGGGGUCCUAGCGUUGUUCGGAAUCACUGGGCGUAAAGCGCAUGUAGGCGGCCUUGUAAGUCAGGUGUGAAAUCCCAUGGCUCAACCAUGGAACUGCAUUUGAAACUGCAAGGCUUGAGUACGAUAGAGGAUGGUAGAAUUCCUGGUGUAGUGGUGAAAUACGUAGAUAUCAGGAGGAACACCGGUGGCGAAGGCGGCCAUCUGGGAUCGAUACUGACGCUGAGAUGCGAAGCGUGGGGAGCAAACAGG